rnacentral:rRNA from 1 species
GAUGAACGCUGGCGGUAUGCUUAACACAUGCAAGUCGAACGGUCACUUCGGUGAUAGUGGCGGACGGGUGAGUAACGCGUGAGAAUCUGUCUUCAGGUCGGGGACAACAGUUAGAAAUGACUGCUAAUACCGGAUGUGCCUUUGGGUGAAAGAUUUAUUGCCUGAAAAAGAGCUCGCGUCAGAUUAGCUAGUAGGUGGUGUAAGAGACUACCUAGGCUCCGAUCUGUAGCUGGUCUGAGAGGACGAUCAGCCACACUGGAACUGAGACACGGUCCAGACUACUACGGGAGGGAGCAGAGGGGGAUUUUCCGCAAUGGGCGGAAGCCUGACGGAGCAAUACCGCGUGAGGGAUGAAGGCUUGUGAGUCGUAAACCUCGUUUCUCAAGGAAGAUGAUGACGGUACUUGAGGAAUAAGCAUCGGCUAACUCUGUG